GACGAACGCUGGCGGCGUGCUUAACACAUGCAAGUCGAACGCUGAAGCUCAGCUUUUGUUGGGUGGAUGAGUGGCGAACGGGUGAGUAACACGUGAGUAACCUGCCCCCUUCUUUGGGAUAACGCCCGGAAACGGGUGCUAAUACUGGAUAUUCACUGGUCUUCGCAUGGGGGUUGGUGGAAAGGGUUUUUCUGGUGGGGGAUGGGCUCGCGGCCUAUCAGCUUGUUGGUGGGGUGAUGGCCUACCAAGGCUUUGACGGGUAGCCGGCCUGAGAGGGUGACCGGUCACAUUGGGACUGAGAUACGGCCCAGACUCCUACGGGAGGCAGCAGUGGGGAAUACUGCACAAUGGGCGCAAGCCUGAUGCAGCGACGCCGCGUGAGGGAUGGAGGCCUUCGGGUUGUGAACCUCUUUCGCUCAUGGUCAAGCCGCAACAAUGGUUGUGGUGAGGGUAGUGGGUAAAGAAGCGCCGGCUAACUACGUG
rnacentral:rRNA from 1 species